CAGAUUAGUUUGGCUUCUCUCCCAGGCUUCAGCAUUUCCUUUUCUUUCCUUCAAAUCCCACAGCACAAUAGAUCAAAGUGAAGUGCAUCCAGGGACUGUGGAUAAGGGGAUAAAAUAUGUAAGCAGCUUAAUGAGAUCCUAUCCUACUAAGGAAAGAAGAUGGCAGUGGAGAAUGUCACACUUGUUAGUGGGAGCUGCCGGCCCACAAGCCCCCAAGGUUCAGCCAAUAAGAGCUAAGCCAUUGACUAGCAAGGAUCACUCUCCGUGACUGUGCUUCUUGGUGUCAACAUGAGCAUCCUCUAAGGUACUCUGGAGUGGGUAGCUCUUCAGGAGGGAAAUGUUAAUAAGCAGGGUAGUUGAUUCAAAAUGACCCUUUUAGUUACAGGAAUCUCAUGGUCAUCAGAAGGGGCGUCUGUGGUCAUUGGUCGGAGGUUUCUAUG
rnacentral:lncRNA from 1 species